rnacentral:rRNA from 1 species
UACGGAGGGGGUUAGCGUUGUUCGGAAUGACUGGGCGUAAAGAGCUCGUAGGCGGUUUGUCGCGUCUGCUGUGAAAACCCGAGGCUCAACCUCGGGCCUGCAGCGGGUACGGGCAGACUAGAGUGCGGUAGGGGAGAUUGGAAUUCCUGGUGUAGCGGUGGAAUGCGCAGAUAUCAGGAGGAACACCAAUGGCGAAGGCAGAUCUCUGGGCCGUAACUGACGCUGAGGAGCGAAAGCAUGGGGAGCGAACAGG